ACCGUGUCACUACUAAAAGUGACCGUGUGACACAGUCUUGACCAAUGAAAUUUAAGAAUGAAUUUCUAAAAAAGCCUUUGCUUUCUUAUUAAAGACAUUAGCAUAAGAGGAGAGAAACUUAAUGACAUUCUUUAUCUCAGCUUCCUGUGUUGCUGCUGGAUGUGAUUUUGGAGCUUCAGCACUCCUUUUGGGACCAUUAAGUAAUGUGCAUGGAAGUGAAAAGCAAAAAAAUUAAGAAGUUUAAAGAACAAUUGUAUGCCAUUUGUGAAGCUGAAAACCUCUGGAUAAUCAUAUCUCCUGCUUUUGAUCAGUCUCAACUCUUGAAUGGACCUUAUUCACUUAAACUAAAAAUCACAUUGUGGCAUGACUAUUUCUCAGAAAAGCCAGAAAUGUGUAAUUAUGAGAAUUUAUUCCUUUUUUUUUGAGACGAAGUUUCGCUCUUGUUACCCAGGCUGGAGGGCAAUGGCGCAAUCUCGGCUCACUGCAACCUCCGCCUCCUGGGUUCAGGCAAUUCUCCUGCCUCAGCCUCCUGAGUAGCUGGGAUUACAGGCACGCGCCACCAUGCCCAGCUGAUUUUUUGUAUUUUUAGUAGAGACGGGGUUUCACCAUGAUGACCAGGAUGGUCUCGAUCUCUUGACCUCGUGAUCCACCCACCUCGGCCUCCCAAAGUGCUGGGAUUACAGACAUGAGCCACCGCGCCCGGCCGAGAAUUUAUUCUUUUUAAAGCACUGAUUGUAAGCAGAGGGAAAGCACCAAAGAACCCCAAUCUAAUAUUUUUAAUGUACACUUUUCACAUUCUAUUAAAAAUUUUAGUGUUUUAAUAAAUGUAGGAAGACAAAUGGGAAAAUGAAAUUUCUUAGGGAAAUAAAUAUACAUAAAUAUGCACAUUUUCUAAAUGAUGAUUAAUAAUAUAGGUAAAGCCCAUAUAUAUAUGCAGUGUUAUUUAUCAGGCUAUAUCCAAGCAGGAUAUAAGAAAAAGUAUUAUGCAGCAUGUAAGCCAGCUUCUAACCAGCUUUGGCACCUAAACAGGAGUCAUAUUUUUGGAGGCAUGAGUUUGUUUUGAACAAUGAAUCAAAUGUCUUCUGCACAGAUAGGGUUUUAUUUAACACCAGAGCCAUGUCUUUUUCUACUUACAUUUCCUGGAAAAUGAGUACAAAUUUUGCAACCAGUCUAUGAAUAAUUAAAUACUUUCUCAUGAAUGGCAGACUUCAGAUGGUUCAGAAUUUCAAGCUGGAUAAACAAGUAUAUAUUUGUAUGUCUGUCUAGGUUUAUGUGUACCUAUACUCCAUUCCAUAAACCAUUUCACAGAAAUGUUUCUAAAGCCCUCUCCUGCCUCUCACUUCCCACAUUUCAUGAAAAGAUGUGUGUGGAGGAUGGUGGCUCUUCAUAGGAUUCUAUUUAAGUGCUUCUGUCUUGAGACCAGUCACAAGGCUACUUUAGAAAGUAGAGCAUGCAUUUUCUCAAGAUGCUCCCCACAUCAGUAACACUCUGUUUGAAGUAGAGAGUGCUUUUGGUUUAUCAGAGAAAUUAUAGAUACUUCUUACCAGUGAAAAGGGUCAAAGAAUACUUUGAUGAUUGUGAACCAGGAUGAGAAAAAAGACUUCUAUGUUCUAUUAAAGGAGGAAGUAGAAGUGGAAACCAGUUAUUGUGCAUAUGGCAUGUGAUGUGUAAGGUUGGAUGCUGAUAAGUCAUGAGGUGCCUGGCCUUUCCUCUUGUUUCAUUCAGCAUCUAAUUUUUAAAAAAUUCUUCAGUUAUGUCCAAUGCCGCCAAAUGAAAAUGUUCAAAUCAUCUCUGACUCCCCUCACCCCAUAUACAACUCAGGUGGACAAAGAGCAGAUCACCCAGGAUUUCUUUUCCAGACACAGAAGAUAGAGUUGGUCUUCAAAUGGCCAUUGAGGUGACUCUAGCAUUUUUUGGUUAAAGACUCUCCAUUUUUUUUCAGUUUCUCAGACACUGGAUUACUUAGAAACUACAGAGAUAAUAAGAACAUUUAAAUUCUAUGCAUUGUUUAAAGAAGAUUAAACCAAAGUAGCCAUGAUUUGUUACUUAAUAUAUAGAACUUUAGAUAGAUAGAUGAUAGAUAGAUAGAUAGAUAACACUCUUCCUUUAAAAAAUAUUUUAUUUUUAAUUAUUAUGAAUACAUAAUAGUUGUACAUAUUUAUUUUCCCUUUGAGUUUUGAUUUGUCGAGGAGAUUUUGGGCUUUGUUUUUAUCUUACGUGAUUCAUUGACAACGAUAUCAGUCAGUAGUUGGCUUACCAUGCCUGGAUAGGGCAUCCUUGCCUGAAUAGAGUCUAAACCGUGCAAAGAGACAUCAUAAAUCAAGCAUAUGAGGUUAUUUCUAUUCAAACAUAUAAUUGUACAAAAAGCAAAUACAUGUUUUUCCUGUAAAAGUGCAGUGUAGUUGCCUUUUAUGUGUCUUUGACUUACCUAAAUUUUCAUUACUACAAAAUAAAAGUCUGUAUUGGUAAAUUUUAAAAUAAUGUUAAUUUGAAAAUGAUAGUGAAUUAUAAUUGUGUUUGUACUGUUGUCUAUGGUGGCACCACCGUGUCAAACAGAAAUACCAGCUCUGCUCUAAGGAAAUAAACCUUGGAGUUCUCAAGUGUUUAUUAUGCAAGAGCUUCAGAGAUGUAUGCAUUGCA
ensembl:lncRNA